UGCUCUGUGGCGGAGUUGGUUAAUGCGCCCUGGCUAGCGAGCUUAGGGAGACGUGGGUGGGUUCAAAUCCCACCAGAACUA
rnacentral:tRNA from 1 species